GACGAACGCUGGCGGCGUGCUUAACACAUGCAAGUCGAACGGAAAGGCCCUGCUUGCAUGGUACUCGAGUGGCGAACGGGUGAGUAACACGUGGGUGUUAUCCCCUGCACUUCGGGAUAAGCUUUGAAAACUGGGUCUAUUACAGGGUAGGAGCCAUCUUGCGUGUGGGGGGUGGUAAGAUUUUUCGGUGUGGGGGGAGCUCGCGGCCUAUCAGCUUGUUGGUGGGGUGAUGGCCUACCAAGGAGGCCACGGGUAGCCGGCCGGAGAGGGUGUGCGGCCGCAUUGGGACGGAUAUACGGCGGCGAAGACUACGAGGGGAAGCAGUGGGGAAGAUUGUAGAAUAAGCGCCAGCCGGAUGAAGCGGCGCCGCGUGGGGGAUGAAGGCGUCCGGGUUGUAGAAUCCUUCUGUUAGGGACGACGCUUCUUUGUGACGGUACCUAGAUAAGAAGCAACGGCUAAAUAAGUG
rnacentral:rRNA from 1 species